rnacentral:rRNA from 1 species
GAUGAACGCUGGCGGCGUGCUUAACACAUGCCAGUCGAACGGAAAGGCCCAAGCUUGCUUGGGUGCUCGAGUGGCGAACGGGUGAGUAACACGUGGGUGAUCUGCCCUGCACUUUGGGAUAAGCCUGGGAAACUGGGUCUAAUACCGGAUAGGACCAUCGUUUAGUGUCGGUGGUGGAAAGUUUUUCGGUGUGGGAUGAGCUCGCGGCCUAUCAGCUUGUUGGUGGGGUAAUGGCCUACCAAGGCGUCGACGGGUAGCCGGCCUGAGAGGGUGUACGGCCACAUUGGGACUGAGAUACGGCCCAGACUCCUACGGGAGGCAGCAGUGGGGAAUAUUGCACAAUGGGCGCAAGCCUGAUGCAGCGACGCCGCGUGGGGGAUGACGGCCUUCGGGUUGUAAACUCCUUUCGCCAAGGACGAAGCGUUUUGUGACGGUACUUGGAGAAGAAGCACCGGCUAACUACGUG